GUGACUUUGUUGUAGACCUGAUCAAUGCAACUGAAGAGGAAGCCAUUCUUCGCCGAGAUAUAUAUGACCGUCCGCCAAUUAUGAAUUGGGGAAGAGGUCGUGUGACCUUGCUUGGUGAUUCUGUCCACGCUAUGCAGCCAAAUCUGGGCCAAGCUGGCUGCAUGGCUAUUGAGGUUUGCUGUUCAAUUAGUUUGCCAUGGCUAUGGAAUCACUAUCAUCACGGUGGAUAUGUUGUUUUAAGAUCUGGUACUUACCACAGGAUGGUUACCAGCUGGCUGUAGAGCUUGAGAAUGCUUGGCAGGAGAGCGUCAAUUCUGGAACUCGUGUGGAUAUAGUUUCUGCCCUGAAGCGGUAACCACUUCUUAUAACUGGUUGGACAUAGUAGAUAUUGAUGUAAUUUUUUAUAAACUUGUCAAAUAGAAAAGUUUUUUUUUGUGAAAAUACUCAAAUAGAAAAGUUUAACUUAGAACAAACUAAAACAUCUUACAUUCAUUUUGAAAUACUAGGAGUAGCAUGUGUUAGCUGUAUUUAUAUAACGUUUCUUUGCGUACACCGAUUUAUAUUUCAAUGUUUCAGCUGAAUUCAACUCCAAAGCUAUUAGUAUUUUUAUGAUAUGGAUUUGAGGUGUGUCCGUACUUGGUAUUUAGGAAGUUGACUGGCAGGCUUUUAUUUUUCUUUUGCAUAUUGGACCUACAGUUACGAGAAAGAAAGAAGGCUGCGUGUUGCUAUUAUACAUGGAUUCGCAAGAAUGGCAGCAAUCAUGGCUACCAUUUAUACACCAUAUUUGGGUGUUGGUAUGGGACCUUUAUCGGUAUGUCAUAAACGUAACUGCCUUAUAUCGCUCAAUGCAUAGAGUUGAUUCUGUUGGUGAUCCAAACUUAAAAUUAGUUUUUAUAGGUAUGCUACCAACAAUUUUAUUGGGUUUCUGAAACAAGGGUCUGAAUUAGACUAUCUCAUUAUCGUCCCGUAGGAGCAUCACUGAAGAACUGCAUACUGAAAUUACUUGAACUGCACACUUAAAUUGUUUUGAUCGUUAUGAGGUUACUUUUCGCUUGUAGUUCUUGACCAAGUGGAUCAAAUUCUCCAUCAAGUACGGAGUGGACAUGAUGCUGAGCUGGGUGCUUAGUGGCAACAGGUGCAUACAAAAAACUUCGAACGGUCUCAUUUCAACUUUUCAAGGCUUCAAGCACAUGCAAAGUAGUAGGUUUUCCGGUGGUUUUCGAUGCCCCAUUCCAAAAACAAACAAACAAACACCAGCCCAACUCUCGCAUUAGUUCCUACUUACUUAUGCAUGUUAUUUGUGAUGCAAUUGAAUCUUUUCAUGGUGUACAGCUCAAAGCUAGAAGGAAGACCUUUGAGCUGCCGACUUUCUGACAAGGUAUAUUUCUAUAUGACGAAUAAAGAUGGUUGGUUGAUUCCAUCAUGAAAUUUUUACUGAAACUUAGCACCAUGUUGAAGGCAAAUGACCAGCUUUAUCGAUGGUUGGAGGAUGACGAUGCAUUGGAAGAAGCCAUGUGUGGAGAGUGCGUUGUGUCUUCUCUAAUUUGAUUUUAGUUAAGCAAAAUGUUUCAUUUAUUCCUUGAUGACAGCACCUUUAACAAAAAAAUACAGAAAAAGAUUUUUAUUAGAAAAAAACUAUUUGCAGGUGGUACCUCUUCCCCGCAAGCGGAGGAAACAACACUAGCUUGCAACCCGUUCGUUUAUUCAGGAAUGAACAAUGGUCACUCUGUGUUGGGUAUGUCUAAAUAGCAAAAUCAUUUUUAUCCUAAUUGCACUCAAUCUAGUAUUUUGGAAUUUUUUUUGAAUAAAUGCAUUUGAUUAUGCAGGAGCCAGUCAGAUCACUGUGACUACGGGUCUUCCCUAUCAUUGUCCUUGCCACAGGUUAUUAGUUAAGCCAAAUGAUGACAGGGUUUUAACCAACUUCUCGUGCUUUUGCCAAUAAACCAUUAGUACAAGCCUUUAGUUUAUGAACUUCCUUGCAGAUAUCAGAAAGGCAUGCUACCAUCACGUGCAAGAAUAAGGCUUUCUAUGUGACUGAUCUCGGAAGCGAACAUGGUACAUGGAUUACCGAGUAAGCCCUGAAAAUAUAGCAUGGUUUUAUGCCCCUCCUCUAGAAUUUCAGUAACAGGAUUUUGUUCACUCACCUCCAUGUGACUAUCCAGCAAUGUAGGUAGACUUAGCCGCGUGCCACCGUACCUCCCAGUUCAUUUCCAUCCCUCUGAUGUCAUUGAGUUCGGUUACGAUAAAAAGGUAGCUCAAUUCCAUCCAAUUAUUCAGCUAGUCAAUUUUAUCUCAUCGACUCAUUUGAACCCUGAAUUGUUGUGUAACCAUUUCUUCCGUGUUCUGAUCGACUAACCAUAAUUUCUUCCAUGUUCUGAUCGACAAACCUACAGGCCAUGUUCCGGUUGAAGGUUUUGAACACACUCCCAUAUGAAUCCGCAAGAAAAAGGGAAGCAGCAGCUGCAGCAGCAAGUUCUUCAGGCUGCAUGAAUGGAGACACUAGCCACCACUCCUGACGUCAUCAUCAGCCAAUACAUAUACUUUACAGCAUACAGUAAACACGCGAUACUGCAUCACUGCAUCAGGGAAAGGUGAUAGAAGAUACGUAGACCAGAUGUGAUUUUUGCAUCCAUCUAGAUGCCAAAAGGGAUUUUACAUACUAGCAGCAGCUCUACGAAGAAGAGCUGAGUAGUACAGUAGGGAUAAGCAAUUUAGCUAUUGCGGGACUGUGUGAAUUGUGU
rnacentral:lncRNA from 1 species